UCCUACGGGGCGCAGCAGUAGGGAAUUUUCGUCAAUGGGCGCAAGCCUGAACGAGCAAUGCCGCGUGAACGAGGAAGGUCUUCGGAUCGUAAAGUUCUGUUGAAGGGGAAAAAGAGCGGAGAGAGGAAAUGGUCUCCGAUUGAUAUUACCCUUCGAGGAAGUCACGGCUAACUACGUGCCAGCAGCCGCGGUAAUACGUAGGUGGCAAGCGUUGUCCGGAUUUAUUGGGCGUAAAGCGAGUGCAGGCGGGUCAAUAAGUCUGAUGUGAAAACCUUCGGCUCAACCGGGGAAUUG
rnacentral:rRNA from 1 species